AGGAUCUCAAGAAUCAAGUGUUGACAACUAAUGCUUGGCUAAGAAUUGCGUGGACGGACGAAUUUCUAACCUGGAAUGCCACAGAUUUCAACAAUGUCAAGGAAAUUUUAGUGUCCAGAGGAGAGGUCUGGACUCCCGACCUUCUGGUGGAAAACACAGCUUUCGGUUACAGAGAACUAGGGAUAGAAAAAAUG